rnacentral:misc_RNA from 1 species
UGACGCACGAAACAUAACGAUAGAUAAACUUCAGACAAAACAAAGUCACCGUUAUGGGCAACCGUCGAUCUAAGACGAAUUUAAAUUUUCCAACUCCCCCCGACCAGUGUAAAUAAACAGACGCGAUCACGAACGAGUCAGUUAUUAUUCGAAUCAUUAUCCAAGUUACAGUUCGAGUAAACAUACGAGUUAUUUGUCCGAGUUAUUAUCUACGAUUAACAAAGUAUACGAGUUAUCGAGUUAUCCGCGAGCGAUCAUAUUCUAUCUUUGCGAAUACAUUUGUACGAGCGUCUUUCGACGAAACGAAGCCACGCCGCCUCAGCCACGCCGCCUCAGCCAAUCAAGAAUCGGCUAGGCUCACUUUUAGCGGGAUACCGCCAUUCUACUGUCGAAGAGUCCAAUCGUUAAGAUAUGUCGUCAUUCGAAGCGUAUAAUCUGAAUUUCUUAGUAUACUUCAAUUGCUGUUAUUACAUUUCAUACAUUAUUACUAGAGGCUCGACCAGCACAUGCGUGGCGACCAGAGCAAUGCGUUCCGACGGGCGUCAGGCUGAAGAGUAGCUGAGGGAAUUGAGACUUUUUCAGAUUACAUCUAUAUAUUCAUAGAGGUCGAGCCGGAGACA